AGUGAGGUGAUUCAUUCUCUGCGGAUCUCUGGAGGACAAGUAGUGGGGAGCGCGUCGUUCUUACUGGCGAGAUGUUGGGUGCGCGACAGUAUAGUAUCCCACUGUGACUGGCUUCCCUCUGUGGCAUGGGUGAGGCAUGCUACCCAAAGGAAUGCUGUACAGCAAUGAGCAUGGAUGAUUUUUAAACUGCAUUCAGGAAUAGCGAUGACCCUCACAGGUAUGCAGCUACAUGGAAGAAGGCGUUACAAAUGUGACUGCAGGCGACUCCUUGCACCAUAAAGCAGACUGCAUGCACACAGAGGACGGCUGGUGUGAUGUCUGUUUUGUCCUGCUGCUCAUUUUAUUCUCCUGCAGAUGCCACUGUGUCUUAGUCACUAAAUCUUCAAAACAGACCAUUGCAUCUGACCAUCAUAGGCCCCCUGCUCUCCAGUUGCCUCUGUGGCUUUCAGCCUUCCCCAAUUCCCUCUAAGUUUUAGCUUUGGAUAAUCAACUAUUACACAAACCCCAGCUGGGGUUUGAUUGCGACAGCUCUUGUCUGGUUUUGGUCUUCCAAAUUAAUUUUGUUCUGUCAGGAUUAAAACAUAUCCCCUUG